rnacentral:rRNA from 1 species
AGAGUUUGAUCCUGGCUCAGAAUCAACGCUGGCGGCGCGCUUAACACAUGCAAGUCGCACGAGAAAGGGGAGCAAUCCCUGAGUAAAGUGGCGUACGGGUGAGUAACACGUGGAUCAUCUACCUUUUAGUGGGGAAUACCCCCGGGAAACUGGGGACAAUACCGCAUAAGCUCGUGAGAGGAAAGCAGCAAUGCGCUGAAAGAGGAGUCCGCGGCUGAUUAGCUAGUUGGUGAGGUAACGGCCCACCGAGGCGAAGAUCGGUAGCCGGCCUGAGAGGGCACACGGCCACACUGGCACUGAAACACGGGCCAGACUCCUACGGGAGGCAGCAGUGGGGAAUCUUGCACAAUGGGCGAAAGCCUGAUGCAGCGACGCCGCGUGAGCGAUGAAGCCCUUCGGGGUGUAAAGCUCUUUCGACGGGAACGAUAAUGACGGUACCCGGAGAAGAAGCUGCGGCUAACUACGUGCCAGCAGCCGCGGUAAUACGUAGGCAGCGAGCGUUGUUCGGAAUUACUGGGCGUAAAGAGUGUGUAGGCGGUGUUCCCAGUCUGUUGUGAAAUCUCCCGGCUUAACUGGGAGGGUGCAGCGGAAACUAGAAUGCUAGAGGGUGGGAGAGGUAAGCGGAAUUCCUGGUGUAGCGGUGAAAUGCGUAGAUAUCAGGAGGAACACCUGUGGUGUAGACAGCUUACUGGACCACUUCUGACGCUGAGACACGAAAGCGUGGGUAGCAAACAGGAUUAGAUACCCUAGUAGUCC